rnacentral:rRNA from 1 species
AGCGAACGCUGGCGGCAGGCUUAACACAUGCAAGUCGAGCGGGCACUUUCGGGUGUCAGCGGCGGACGGGUGAGUAACGCGUGGGAACGUGCCCUCUGGUUCGGAAUAACUCAGGGAAACUUGAGCUAAUACCGGAUACGCCCUUUUGGGGAAAGGCUUGCUGCCGGAGGAUCGGCCCGCGUCUGAUUAGCUAGUUGGUGAGGUAACGGCUCACCAAGGCGACGAUCAGUAGCUGGUCUGAGAGGAUGAUCAGCCACACUGGGACUGAGACACGGCCCAGACUCCUACGGGAGGCAGCAGUGGGGAAUAUUGGACAAUGGGCGCAAGCCUGAUCCAGCCAUGCCGCGUGAGUGAUGAAGGCCUUAGGGUUGUAAAGCUCUUUUAUCCGGGACGAUCAUGACGGUACCGGAGGAAUAAGCCCCGGCUAACUUCGUG